rnacentral:tRNA from 1 species
GCCGCCUUAGCUCAGUUGGUUAGAGCGACGGUUUUGUAAACCGUAGGUCGUCGGUUCGAAUCCGACAGGCGGCUCCA